UGCGCAGGCGGGCUUGUAAGUCAGUGGUGAAAUACUGCCGCUCAACGGUAGAACUGCCAUUGAUACUGCAAGUCUUGAGUAUGGUUGAGGUAGGCGGAAUGUGUCGUGUAGCGGUGAAAUGCAUAGAUAUGACACAGAACGCCGAUUGCGAAGGCAGCUUACUAAGCCAUUACUGACGCUGAGGCACGAAAGCGUGGGGAGCGAACAGGAUUAGAUACCCUGGUAGUCC
rnacentral:rRNA from 1 species